UCAGAUAUUAGAAGCGCGUGGCAGUCCA
rnacentral:sRNA from 1 species